UACGUAGGAUGCAAGCGUUAUCCGGAUUUACUGGGCGUAAAGAGGGAGUAGGUGGUUCUUCAAGUCGGAUGUAAAAUCUCCCGGCUUAACUGGGAGGGACCAUGCGAUACUGUUGAACUAGAGGACAGCAGGGGGAGAUGGAAUUCCCGGUGUAGUGGUGAAAUGCGUAGAUAUCGGGAAGAACACCAGUGGCGAAGGCGGUCUCCUAGGCUGUUACUGACACUGAGGCCCGAAAGCGUGGGGAGCGAACAGGAUUAGAUACCCCUGUA
rnacentral:rRNA from 1 species